rnacentral:rRNA from 1 species
CGGAGGGUCCAAGCGUUAUCCGGAAUCAUUGGGUUUAAAGGGUCCGUAGGCGGUUUAAUAAGUCAGUGGUGAAAGCCUAUCGCUUAACGAUAGAACGGCCAUUGAUACUGUUAGACUUGAAUUAGUGGGAAGUAACUAGAAUAUGUAGUGUAGCGGUGAAAUGCUUAGAUAUUACAUGGAAUACCAAUUGCGAAGGCAGGUUACUAUCACUAUAUUGACGCUGAUGGACGAAAGCGUGGGGAGCGAACAGGAUUAGAUACCCUGGUAGUCCACGCCGUAAACGAUGGAUACUAGCUGUUCGGAGCAAUCUGAGUGGCUAAGCGAAAGUGAUAAGUAUCCCACCUGGGGAGUACGUUCGCAAGAAUG